rnacentral:lncRNA from 1 species
GUUUCCACAAGAUGCAGACAGAGCUCAAAAAUGGGUCUCUGCCAUCCGUGAGGCUGAUCAAAAAUCUAGGAUCCAAUAUCGGAGGAAAAAUGUUGCAAGGACACUGUCAAAAUCCAGCACAGUGUGCGAGAUUCAUUUUGAGCAAAGGUUUAUGGUACCGGGCAAUCCCUCUUGACGAAUCCAUCUGACUCCUAGAGCUGUGCCAACAAUUUUUCCUGCCCUUGCAGAGUGCACAGUAAAGGAAUGUCGCAGUACGAGCGAGAAUGUCACAAGAGAUGAAAAUUGUAAUGACUCAUACAUGACUACAUCACCCACCAAACUGAAGCAAGCAGCUAUCAUUCAGAAGAUUUGUAUGUCUAAAAUAUCCCUUCCUCCUUCUGGCCCAAUGUCUGUAUCGACAAAAGCUCAUCCACAGAUUUCUGGAGUUCAUACACGAAAACCUCUGAUGCCCAAUUGUAACUCUCUAAAUAAACCAGAACACUCAGUAAACUGGAAACAAAUCUCUACCAUCCAGCAAAUCUCUAAAUCUCUGCCAUCUACCUCACCUUCUCAACAACUACCUGCCACGCCUGAAACUAUUUCAAAAGUAAGUGAAACCAUAAUUACCAUUAUGUAAGGCACUAAACUGCUCUCCUUGAAUCUUUAUUCUUUUAAGAAUAAAUUUUUCCAAUAUUAUGUUUUUCAAGUCAAUCGUUCAGCAAAAAAAAGGAAAAAACACGAGCCAAAAAUUAGGAGCCACAAAUUCCAGCGCUCUCGUCUGCUUAUAAACAAUACUGAGUCUGAGGAAUGAUGAUACCAAGACUCAACUUGACCUCACUGAUAAGUUGAGUAAAAUGUACUCCUGGCUGAUUAAGCGUUUCUCUCAAGCUUAUAUACGAUGAAACAUUUACAUCUACUCACUCCGCGUUUCUCAGUGCUCGCAGUUUUCUCGCACUUUUUGCUCUCUUUUUUUAUUUCAAGACGUCCUAAAUCGACGAAAAUCUUGAAAAUCGUCCCUUUUUUUCUGUCUUUCUCGCUGUUUCGUGCCGUCAUCUAAGUUCGUUUCUUGCUUGUCUGUGCCAGGUAUGAACACUGUCUUUCUCUCUGAUUCUCCUUUUAAAGGUAGAAUGUGUUCCAUUUAGCUCUCUUCACUCCCCCCAACGCUUUUAUUCAGCUUUCCUUUCAUUUUUUGCCAUUUUUCUACAUUUUUUCAUUUUUUCUGAAUUUUUUUCAAAAUUUUUGACUUUUCUGAAAAUUUUCGAAAUUUUCAAAUUUUCGUGAUUUUUUGGCAAGUUCGCUUUAAUUCAUAAACGGAAAUGUCGAAAUCGCGCACUUAAACCUCUUCCCUUUUGAGAAAAUCCGCGAAAAAUUGCUUUUUUCCCGUGAAAAACUUCUAAAAAGUUCGAAAAAUCGACAUUUUUCGAAUCUUUUCAAGACCGUUCAAAGUUCGUGCUUGAGCGGUCCAAAAGUAAGAAAUUAGCAUCACUAAAUUUUCUGUUUUUCCACUAAAUUAAGGCACUUUUUCAUUUCCUCAAAAAUGAUAGCCAUCAAAGUUCAUUCUUAAGGUCCGCUUCUCGGCCAAUAAACUGCCCUUUUCCGUUCUCAGAUCCGCUCUCAGGGCAACGGAUCACUCCCAAAAAUCGAAAAAUCUCCCGCGGAGCUCCUUUCUUCUCUCUUUUUCACUUAAAUUCUGCAUCGCUUCGCUCUUCUGUCGCUGCGCCUUAGCGCCGUCACUCCGCGAGGUGCCCGGAAAAAUUCGGAAUGAUUCCUCACUCACCACCCAAACGCGUGCCUAGGGUGCAGAUUACACCGCUCGGGACUUCAGCUGCGACAUCCGCACUCAAACAAACCCAACGGACAAAGAC